GCACUUUUCUUUUGCUUCAAUGAUGCCUAUAUCAGGGACGUCAGCUUGACUGACUAUGGCGAUAAACGGCCGGUGAAAUAAACCAUUCGGACCCGGGGGCGGUACCCGGCGCCUCCACCAUAAACCGCUGGGUAUGCAGCGGCUUGUGAUGGGGGCGAAAUAGGAUCGACGAGGGUGUAAAGAUCGGACUUUUGCUCGGCAUUGUACCACCGUUAUCGGGCUACCCUUAUAGUUGCAAACGACAACUAUGCUGAGGCACGUCUCGCUGCUUAAUGCGGCGCGAUAGUCUCAAAUCAAGCCCUGUCGGUUAGCACCCUCAGGCGGGGUUCGGAGGUACCUGGCAACAGAAACCUCCACU
rnacentral:tmRNA from 1 species